UGGCUCACAGGGUAAAGGUGAUUGUUGCUAAGCCUGGUGACCUGAGUCCAAUCCCCAGGACCUAGACGGGGACCGGCCGGCUUCCCUGCAAGGUCCUCCAAGCUCACCGUUUGUACAAAUGCCCUGUACCAACACGCAUACACUCUAAAGAACUGUCUUUUUUUUUUUUUUCUAAAACGCAGAGCAAAAGGUCUCGUUUUAUCGACUAUAAAAAGUGACCUUCUAAGGGAGGGUGCUUUCUGACCCCGCUUUACUUCUUUAACAGGCAUCUUGUUUUUCUGCUAAUUUUUAAUGUACUAUAAUCUGUCAGUCGUCUGUGAAAAUGGAUUUUACAUGCGUCAGACCCUUCCAGUUUUUAAACUUGCCACACAGUCCUGACUUGAUUCGUGGGUGCUUCUUCUGUUCCCUUCCUGAGUUCAUUAACUCUCUUUCUUUGCCACUCGAUAUUUUAGGGUUCACUUGGUGGUUGUUUCGUUUCAUUUGGCUCAUCCCCCCCAACCCCAAACUCGACUUUUGAGGAAACCUAUUUAUUCUACCGUUUGCCCACUUACAAACUUAAGACUACCCAGGGAAUUCAAUUUUAAAUUGGAUUUUAUUUCCUCUGAGAAGAUGAACGAAACUCUCAUUCGCAGAGGAAAAGCAAGGUGGACGGUGCAUCGCAAACUUGCUUCGCAGACGGAGCAUACUCUGGGGCCUUGAGCAAGACGGGACCCUGCGCCUUUAAGAAAAACCAGAGCCAGAGAGCUUCUUUUCAGGAAGUUUCAUUCACAAUGUCUCAGUUGGCUUUCGGUCUACAUUGGAAUCCCAGAGAAGAAGAAGGCCUGGACAAAUAAUGCCUCAGCAGCAGGACAGAUGAGCUUGUCAUCAAGAGUGAGGGCAAGCAGGCAAAAGCAAAAGCUUCCUCCUUCCAUGUCCUUUUAUGUCAACCGCCACCAGAAGGUGUGACCCAGAUUUAGGAUGGGUCUUCCCAACUCAAUUAAUCCAACUAAGAAAAACCCUUCCCAGGUGUGCCCACCUGUUUGGGUCAAGAUACAAUGUAUACAAGAUGUAUGAAGUUGUUAAAGAAUAAGUGAUACUCUUUUAAGAAA